GGCUAUGUUUGUUACCGUUUUCAAAUUCUUUCCACACUUUCCCCAAAAUGAAAAUUAUCUUUCUACACUAUUUUCAAAAACUUUCCCCAAAACAAAUUCAAAUAUUUCUCUCUCUAACAAACAUGAUUUGACCGCUACAGUGAAAAUUGUCUUCACUAAAAUACAAAAUCAAAUCACUUUAUCUUUUAAAUUCUUCUUCCAAAAUACUUUUUUCCAACACCUUUCAGACAUGAUUUGACUUGCUACAGUACAAAUUGUCUCCUCCCAAAACACAAACAAACUUUAUUUAAUUUUCAAAUUCUUCCCCGAAAGCAUCUUUCCCCAAAAUAAAAUGGAAAUGGAAGCCCAAAAGCUUACCAAACACAGCC
rnacentral:lncRNA from 1 species